GGUAAAAUGGCCGAAUUAUUAGGUGAUAAAUUGUAAAUUUAUUUAUGGAACAAAAAAUUCCUUUUGCUA
rnacentral:tRNA from 1 species